rnacentral:rRNA from 1 species
GACAGCAGUAGCCGCGGUAAUACGAAGGGGGCUAGCGUUGUUCGGAAUUACUGGGCGUAAAGCGCACGUAGGCGGAUAUUUAAGUCAGGGGUGAAAUCCCAGAGCUCAACUCUGGAACUGCCUUUGAUACUGGGUAUCUUGAGUAUGGAAGAGGUGAGUGGAAUUCCGAGUGUAGAGGUGAAAUUCGUAGAUAUUCGGAGGAACACCAGUGGCGAAGGCGGCUCACUGGUCCAUUACUGACGCUGAGGUGCGAAAGCGUGGGGAGCAAACGGGAUUAGAUACCCCAGUAGUCCCUGUCUCUUAUAA